CAGCCAUACAUGUUACUGAAUAAAUUGUGUAUGAUACAUCGUACAUUUGUUCUUUCAUAUCGACAUAUUUGUGUUACUAUUUUACAAACAUACAAACUCCUGUACUACACUCUUGGAUGUUGCAACACAAUUUAUUUGCUCAGCUACAUCUUCCCUGAGCAAUGCAUACACAAUUUGCUAGACCAUUGCUAUUAUUCCGGUAUCCAUCUUUUCUCAGCCUUUUCCAUCAGCUCUCUACUACUCUUCCAAAAAUCCAGACAUUUAAAAUACAACACUUCAUCUGUGAUCCUGACGACGACUUCUCCUCCUAGUAAUUACAGUAGCUGAAAUAAAGUAGUUGCCGCUGGACCUAAACAUAACGAGAACACAACCAUUGACGAUGUACGCUGCAAUAGGAGCGGCCACAUCGAUGUUGC
rnacentral:lncRNA from 1 species